GACGAACGCUGGCGGCGUGCUUAACACAUGCAAGUCGAACGGAAAGGCCCUGCUUUUGUGGGGUGCUCGAGUGGCGAACGGGUGAGUAACACGUGAGUAACCUGCCCUUGACUUUGGGAUAACUUCAGGAAACUGGGGCUAAUACCGGAUAGGAGCUCCUGCUGCAUGGUGGGGGUUGGAAAGUUUCGGCGGUUGGGGAUGGACUCGCGGCUUAUCAGCUUGUUGGUGGGGUAGUGGCUUACCAAGGCUUUGACGGGUAGCCGGCCUGAGAGGGUGACCGGCCACAUUGGGACUGAGAUACGGCCCAGACUCCUACGGGAGGCAGCAGUGGGGAAUAUUGCACAAUGGGCGGAAGCCUGAUGCAGCAACGCCGCGUGCGGGAUGACGGCCUUCGGGUUGUAAACCGCUUUCGCCUGUGACGAAGCGUGAGUGACGGUAAUGGGUAAAGAAGCACCGGCUAACUAAGUG
rnacentral:rRNA from 1 species